ensembl:misc_RNA Metazoa_SRP Metazoan signal recognition particle RNA
GCCAGGAACGGUGGCUUGUGCCUGUAAUCCAAGCGCUGGGGAGGCUGAGGCUGGCAGACAGCUCGAGCCUAGGGGUUCUGAGCUGUAGCGAGCUGUGCUGAGCGGGCAUCUAUGCUAAGUUUUGGCACCAAUAUGGUGGUCCUGGGGGAGCCGGGGGCCACCAGGUCACUUAAGGUGGGGUGAACCAGCCCUGGUUGGAGACGGAGCAGGUCAAAACUCCUGGGUUGAUCAGUAUGAUGGCGCCCGUGAACAGUCCUUGUAGCACAGUCCGGGUGAGAGAGCAGGACCCAGUUUUC